rnacentral:rRNA from 1 species
UGGGGAAUAUUGCACAAUGGGCGAAAGCCUGAUGCAGCAACGCCGCGUGAGUGAUGAAGGUCUUCGGAUUGUAAAGCUCUGUCUUUUGGGACGAUAAUGACGGUACCAAAGGAGGAAGCCACGGCUAACUACGUGCCAGCAGCCGCGGUAAUACGUAGGUGGCGAGCGUUGUCCGGAUUUACUGGGCGUAAAGGGUGCGUAGGCGGAUGUUUAAGUGAGAUGUGAAAUACCCGGGCUUAACUUGGGUG